rnacentral:rRNA from 1 species
GAUGAACGCUGGCGGCGUGCUUAAUACAUGCAAGUCGAACGAAGCGCCUCUCCCGAAGAUAGACCCAGCUUGCUGGGGAUUGAUUCACCUGAGGUGACUGAGUGGCGGACGGGUGAGUAACGCGUGGGUAACCUGCCUUAUACAGGGGGAUAACAGUUGGAAACGACUGCUAAUACCGCAUAAGCGCACAGUACCGCAUGGUACAGUGUGAAAAACUCCGGUGGUAUAAGAUGGACCCGCGUCUGAUUAGCUAGUUGGUGAGGUAACGGCUUACCAAGGCAACGAUCAGUAGCCGACUUGAGAGAGUAAGCGGCGACAUUGGGACUGAGACACGGCCCAAACUCCUACGGGAGGCAGCAGUAGGGAAUAUUGCACAAUGGGGGAAACCCUGAUGCAGCGACGCCGCGUGAAGGAUGAAGUACUUCGGUAUGUAAACUUCUAUCAGCAAGGAAGAAAAUGACGGUACUUGACUAAGAAGCCCCGGCUAAGUACGUGCCAGCCGCCGCAGUAA